rnacentral:rRNA from 1 species
GACGUAGGGGGCAAGCGUUAUUCGGAAUCAUUGGGCGUAAAGCGCUCGUAGGCGGGACAACAAGUCCGUGCAGAAAGACCUGGGCUCAACUCAGGGAACGGCACGGAUACUGUUGUUCUUGAGGCAAUCAGAGGGUGAUGGAAUUCCCGGUGUAGCGGUGAAAUGCGUAGAUAUUGGGAAGAACACCGGUGGCGAAGGCGGCGACCUGGUCCUUGACUGACGCUGAGGCGCGAAAGCGUGGGGAGCAAACAGG